rnacentral:lncRNA from 1 species
CACUUGAACCCGGGAGGCAGAGCUUGCAGUGAGCCGAGAUAGCACCACUGCACUCCAGCCUGGGCGACAGAGUGAGACUCCAUCUCAAAAAAAAAAAAAAAAAAAGAAAUACCUGAGACUGGGAAAUUUAUAAAGAAAAGAAGUUUAAUUGGCUCCCGGUUCUGCAGGCUGUACAAGCAUGGCACCAACAUCACUCAGCUUCAUGGGGGGGGCCUCAGGGAGCUUUUAUUCAUGGCAGAAGGCAAUGUGGGAGCAGGCAUUUCACAUGGUGAAAGCAGGAGCAAGAGAGAGAGUGGGGGAGGAACUGUAACACACUUCUUUUUUGGGCUAUGCAAAUUCUCCAGUUGCACCCCGGGUCUAAUGAAUCAGAAACACUGGGGGUGGAAGCGUAUUUCCAGCUACAGCCAUGUGAAAAGUCAGCAAAUCCUCUCCCCAGAAAGCAACUAUAAGUCUGAACAAAAUUGACAAGAACAACUAUUUUGGUGCUCUGGAAAUCAAUAAAACUCAUACAACAAUCUGAGAAGUGUUUAAGCUUGAUAACAUGCUGAACGUUGGGUAAGAACAGUGGAUGUCUGAAGCGUUCUUUCCUAGGACUGCUCCCAUCUCCUCUAGCCGAGUGGGUGUGGAGGUUCUGCCAGGGCAGGACCAGGCAUGAGGACCUGCAGUGGUGCUGCCAGGUUGGAGGGGGCUUACUGGAUUUGCUGUAGCAGGUGAUGCCCACACCUAUGGCACUGUCAGUGGAAGUGACAACAGUUUUGCCUUUCAAGAAACGCCAUAGGAAGUCCUUUAGAGUGAAAGAAAGCAACAUCAGAGAGCAACUUUAAUGCACAGGACAAAAAUAGGCCGGGCGUGGUGGCUCACACCUGUAAUCCCAGCACUUUGGGAGGCCGAGGUCGGUGGAUCAUGAGGUCAAGAGAUCGAGACUAUCCUGGCCAACAUGGUGAAAUCCCAUCUCUCUAAAAAUACAAAAAUUAGCUAGGCGUGGUGGUGCAUGCCUGUAGUCCCAGCUACUCGGGAAGCUGGGGCAGGAGAAUUGCUUGAAUCCAGGAGGCAGAGGUUGCAGUGAGCCAAGAUCACGCCACUGCACUCCAGCCUGGGCGACAGAGCGAGACUCCGUCACCAAAAAAAAAAAAAAAGAAAAGAAAAAAAGAAAACCAUUGGAAUUGUUAAAUAUGUGGGCUGAUAGAAAAGACUCCAUAAAUAUAUUUUUCUCAUUUCUUCUGUUACCUUUUAAAAAAGGCAUAAUAUUGUGUAAAGCAAUAAUUAUAACAUUGUAUUGUUGGGUUUAUAGCAUGUAUAAAUGUAAUACAUAUGAUAAUACAAAAAAGAGGGAAGAGAAUUGAGCUUUAUUAAAGCAAAAUUUCUAUGUUUUAUCUGAAUUAAAUUAGUAAUAAUCUGAACUAUAUUUAGAUAAGAUGCAUAUUGUUAUCAAAAUAUCAAGUUGUACCCCUUAAAUAUAUAGUUUUGUCAAUUAUACCUCAAUAAAGCUGAAAAAAUUACUUUGAGAUGGCUCUUAUUAAAAAAUACAUAUUGUAAUCCAUACUGCAAUGACUAAGAAAAUUUUUAAAUAGUUAAAAAAAGAAUUUAAAUGCUGUACUAAAAAAUAUGUAACACAGAAAUCAGUGAAAGAGGGGCAGAGAAACAAAAAUAGGAGACAUAUGGAAAACAAAUAGCAGGUUGGGUAUGGUGGCU